rnacentral:misc_RNA from 1 species
UGCCGCAGUCCCUCACCCGCAGAGA